rnacentral:lncRNA from 1 species
UGCAAUUCCCUCAUCUUACAGAUGAGAAUACUGAAUCCCAGAAAGAUGAAGUGAGCUAUAUGUAGUCACACAAGUUAUAAGUAAUUGAUCUGAGAUUUGAACUAAGGUCUGCUGAUUUCAAUUCCAAAUCUCGUUGUAUUUUUCUCGUUGAAGAACUUAGGCAGAUUGAAAGUGAAAUAAAUAACCCUGAAAGUCAUAUAGUUCAUUACAUCAAAGGACAAUAUUUCAAGAAUGAAUAAUCAAUUACCCUUGAAGAUCCAGCCUAAAUCUCAUUUCCUCCAUGAAACUUUCUCAGAGUAUUUGAAGGCACAUUAACUUCUCCCUUUUAGGUAAGCCUAUACCUUCUCUCCUCCACGGAUAGGUGGGCUGGUUUUUAGACAUUCUCCUUGGUCCUAUCAAGUCUACUCAAUACUUGUACUCCAUGAACACAACCUUUGGGGUCAUCUCUGCAGUAUAGUGUGACAGAAUGACAAUAUGUUAAUGGAGUAGGAAUAAAAGUUAGGGAUAAGUCUGAUUUUCUAGGGUUAGUUAAAAGAAGGGAAUUUUGUGAUAAGCCCUGGGAAAGAAUUCUGGGUAGGAAAUGAAUUGUGGGAGUCUAAAACUGAAAAUAACUGAACUUCACUUCCUUCUUGGAUUUCAUCUGAGCUAGAAGUAGGUCUUGUCUCUCUGCCUAUUUCCAUCAAGCUGAAGGAGGGGUUUUGCUCUAAGAGAUUCUCCCUGGAUAGCCAGGAUUUCAUGGAGAAAUCUUUAACAUCUAGGUAGAGGAUUUAUUUGGAGAAAACCAAAUUUCCCUGAGUCCAAACAUCAUCUGUCAGUGGUCCAGCUGCCAGACUUUAGCUAAGUGGAAGGGAGGAGGCAUAGAGAGAAUAUAAUAAAUAUAUAUUGUCAACUGUCUGAAAAUGAAGUACCUUUCAAGUCAAAUAAAAAUAUCCAGAAAGUUCCUAUUUUAUAUCAAGCAAGAUAGAGACCUUGUUCGUAACCAUACGGAUUUCAAUUACCAGGAAAAAAAAGACCAAAACAAACAAAAAAAAAAUGAAAGCAAGCAGGUCUCCAGAAGUAAUGAGGGAGUCAGACAGAUCUUCCUCACUCAAGACCCACAACUCUACCCAUUACUCCACACUACCAGUCAAGGAUUGGCUUCUCCUAUUACUCAACUCAACAUCUAUUUCUCAAAUGCCUUCCAUGCACAAUGUUCCAUAUCAUGAGGAGAUACAAGAAAAAUUAAGCAAUAGAGCUUGCUGAGAACAUAUACUUCCAUGUUUUAAUGAAGCUAUGGAUCAUUGAAAUGGCCAGUCUUCACUAUAUAAUGAGUGUAAAUUGAAAUGUGUUCAUUUGUUCUUGUCCUAACAGAUACUUAAAUUCUUCAUGGAAGGUUGACCCAGAACACCAGAAGUCUUUUUCUGAGUAUCCUAAUAUUCCAUGGGUACUAGGAUAUCAAUAUUGAGGGAAAAUAGACCAAAGCUGAAAAGGGCCUUAGAGAUCAUAUUGUCUGACUGUCUCAUUUUACAGAUGAUAAAACUGAAGCCCAUAGAGGUUAAAUGACUGUCACAGAGUUACAUGGAAAUAAAUUGUAGAAUGAAAUUCA